UACGGAGGAGGCAAGCGUUAUCCGGAAUGAUUGGGCGUAAAGCGUCCGCAGGUGGCAGUUCAAGUCUGCUGUCAAAGACCGGGGCUUAACUUCGGAAAGGCAGUGGAAACUGAACAGCUAGAGUAUGGUAGGGGCAGAGGGAAUUCCUGGUGUAGCGGUGAAAUGCGUAGAUAUCAGGAAGAACAUCGGUGGCGAAGGCGCUCUGCUGGACCAUAACUGACGCUCAGGGACGAAAGCUAGGGGAGCGAAUGGG
rnacentral:rRNA from 1 species